rnacentral:SRP_RNA from 1 species
GGAACCCGAAGCCGUUGUUCGGCGGGAACCCGAAGCCCGAGGGGGGCUGACCAAAGCCGCCGGGGGGGCCGGGGGGGCCGGGGGGCUGCUGGCCCGGGAAGGGGCGGUAGCCUGGCAUGGGCUGGAGG